AUGGGCACAGCAGAUUGUCCUUUUCCUUCAGACAGGAGAACUUCCCGAAGAGCAAGAAGAAGUGGAAAGAGUAGCCCGGUAGUCAAGUAUGUACCAGUUUGUCGACAACACACUGUACAGAAGAAGACUCAACGGUGUGAAAUUGAAGUGUAUUCACCGGGAAGACGGACAAAAGCUGUUGGCAGAGAUACAUGGAGGCAUAUGUGGUCACCACAUUGGCGCAAGAGCACUUGCCGGCAAAGCGUUCCGGCAAGGUUUCUUUUGGCCGAUAGCCCUCCAGGAUGCAACUGCACAAGUAACCAAGUGUGA
rnacentral:rRNA from 1 species